rnacentral:rRNA from 1 species
GACGAACGCUGGCGGCGUGGAUUAGGCAUGCAAGUCGAACGGUAUCAUCCUUUCGGGGGUGAGAGAGUGGCGAACUGGUGAGUAACACGUAGGUUAUCUACCCUCAAGACGGGGACAACCCAGGGAAACUUGGGCUAAUACCGGAUGUGAGCAACUUUUAGUUGUUUGAAAGGUGGCGUAAGCUGUCGCUUGGGGAUGAGCCUGCGUCCUAUUAGUUAGUUGGUGAGGUAACGGCUCACCUAGGCAAUGAUAGGUAGGCGGCCUUAACGGGUGGUCGCCCACACUGGGAUUGAGAUACGGCCCAGACUCCUACGGGAGCAGCAGUCGAGAAUAGUCUACAAUGGUCGGAAGACUGAUAGUGCGACGCCGCGUGAACGAUGAAUCCCUUCGGGGUUAAAGUUCUUUUAUAUGUGAGCAGUGCUUCUUAUAUUAACAGUAUGGGGAAGAGAUAUUAGCAUAUGAAUAAGCAAACGGCUAAACUCCGUGCCCAGCAGCCGCGGUAAA